rnacentral:rRNA from 1 species
CCUACGGGUGGCAGCAGUGGGGAAUAUUGGGCAAUGGGCGCAAGCCUGACCCAGCAACGCCGCGUGAAGGAAGAAGGCUCUCGGGUUGGAAACUUCUUUUCGCAGGGACGAAGAAAGUGACGGUACCUGAGGAAUAAGCCACGGCGAACUACGUGCCAGCAGCCGCGGUAAUACGUAGGUGGCAAGCGUUAUCCGGAUUUACUGGGUGUAAAGGGCGUGUGGGCGGGACUGCAAGUCAGAUGUGAAAACCACGGGGUCAACCCGUAGCCUGCAUUUGAAACUGUAGUUCUUGAGUACUGGAGAGGGAGGCGGAAUUCCUAGUGUAGCGGUGAAAUGCGUAGAUAUUAGGAGGAACACCAGUGGCGAAGGCGGUCUGCUGGACAGCAACUGACGCUGAGGCGCGAAAGCGUGGGGAGCGAACAGGAUUAGAUACCCUGGUAGUC